GAUGAACGCUGGCGGCGUGCCUAAUACAUGCAAGUCGAACGAAACUUCUUUAUCACCGAGUGCCUGCACUCACCGAUAAAGAGUUGAGUGGCGAACGGGUGAGUAACACGUGGGCAACCUGCCCAAAAGAGGGGGAUAACACUUGGAAACAGGUGCUAAUACCGCAUAACCAUAGUUACCGCAUGGUAACUAUGUAAAAGGUGGCUAUACUACCGCUUUUGGAUGGGCCCGCGGCGCAUUAGCUAGUUGGUAGGGUAAAGGCUUACCAAGGCAAUGAUGCGUAGCCGAAUUGAGAGGUUGAUCGGCCACAUUGGGACUGAGACACGGCCCAAACUCCUACGGGAGGCAGCAGUAGGGAAUCUUCCACAAUGGGCGAAAGCCUGAUGGAGCAACGCCGCGUGGGUGAAGAAGGUCUUCGGAUCGUAAAACCCUGUUGUUAGAGAAGAAAGUGCGUGAGAGUAACUGUUCACGUUUCGACGGUAUCUAACCAGAAAGCCACGGCUAACUACGUG
rnacentral:rRNA from 1 species